rnacentral:sRNA from 1 species
ACAGAUCACGAUUAGGCCCGGGAGGAAA